AUUAUUGUAUUAACCUGUAACAACUGCGUUCGUAUUAUCUAUUGUAUAAAAGUUUUUGGUGUUGUUUAUUGAGACAUUUAUUUCAACGAUUUCAACUUAAUCAAUUAAGAUAUGGGGUCAUGUCUGCACUCUCUAAGAUUGUUUCCUGAAGCCCUACUUGAUCUUUGUAGUCAGUCCAAAGGAUUUAAAGAAGAAUUCGCUCAUUCAUGGGAAAAAAGAAAUCCUUGAUCUAAGGACAUAAGUGUUACUUAAAAAUUGGAAUCUAAAAGGGCUUUGAAAAUUUGAAAUGAUUCAGUCUACAUAAAGGAGAUAAUGUACAACAACUUUUUGUAAUACUUCUUCAGUAGGAGAGGAAGGAACAAAGUUGUGCGGCUCCAAAAAUGAAGCUCAUGAUUACUUCAGCUGUG